rnacentral:rRNA from 1 species
UACGUAGGGUGCGAGCGUUGUCCGGAAUUAUUGGGCGUAAAGAGCUCGUAGGCGGUCUGUCGCGUCGGAUGUGAAAGCCCGGGGCUUAACUCCGGGUCUGCAUUCGAUACGGGCAGACUAGAGUGUGGUAGGGGAGAUCGGAAUUCCUGGUGUAGCGGUGAAAUGCGCAGAUAUCAGGAGGAACACCGGUGGCGAAGGCGGGUCUCUGGGCCGUAACUGACGCUGAGGAGCGAAAGCGUGGGGAGCGAACAGG